rnacentral:rRNA from 1 species
GACGGAGGGGGCAAGCGUUGUCCGGACUUACUGGGCGUAAAGGGCCCGUAGGCGGCCCGGUGCGUCGGUGCUGAAAGCGCCCCGCUUAACGGGGUGAGGCGUGCCGAUACGACCGGGCUCGAGGCAGGCAGAGGGUGGCGGAAUUCCGGGUGUAGUGGUGAAAUGCGUAGAGAUCCGGAGGAACGCCUGUGGCGCAAGCGGCCACCUGGGCCUGACCUGACGCUGAGGGGCGAAAGCGUGGGGAGCGAACCGG